ACGAGUGGCGGACGGGUGAGUAAUGCUUGGGAAUCUGGCUUAUGGAGGGGGAUAACUACGGGAAACCGGUAGCUAAUACCGCGUAAUAUCUUCGGAUUAAAGGGUGGGACUUUCGGGCCACCUGCCAUAAGAUGAGCCCAAGUGGGAUUAGGUAGUUGGUGGGGUAAAGGCCUACCAAGCCGACGAUCUCUAGCUGGUCUGAGAGGAUGACCAGCCACACUGGAACUGAGACACGGUCCAGACUCCUACGGGAGGCAGCAGUGGGGAAUAUUGCACAAUGGGGGGAACCCUGAUGCAGCCAUGCCGCGUGAAUGAAGAAGGCCUUCGGGUUGUAAAGUUCUUUCGGUGAUGAGGAAGGUGUUUGUUUUAAUAGAACAAGCAAUUGACGUUAGUCACAGAAGAAGCACCGGCUAACUCCGUGCCAGCAGCCGCGGUAAUACGGAGGGUGCGAGCGUUAAUCGGAAUGACUGGGCGUAAAGGGCACGCAGGCGGUGACUUAAGUGAGAUGUGAAAGCCCCGAGCUUAACUUGGGAAUUGCAUUUCAUACUGGGUCGCUAGAGUAUUUUAGGGAGGGGUAGAAUUCCACGUGUAGCGGUGAAAUGCGUAGAGAUGUGGAGGAAUACCGAAGGCGAAGGCAGCCCCUUGGGAAUAUACUGACGCUCAUGUGCGAAAGCGUGGGGAGCAAACAGGAUUAGAUACCCUGGUAGUCCACGCUGUAAACGCUGUCGAUUUGGGGAUUGGGCUUUAAGCUUGGUGCCCGUAGCU
rnacentral:rRNA from 1 species